AUUUAUUUUUUUUUUCUUGUCCUCUCAUGACAGUGAAAUUUCACGAUUAACAGAAAGGUAUACAAAUCGAUUUCAAAAUUUUUAAUGGAAAAUAACUUAAUGGACAUGAUGAAAAAGGACAAACAUUUUUUCGCGAUGAGAGAUAUAUUUUGAACCUUUGCUUGGUAUAGAAAGAAUCCUAUUGGGACGUUAGAUGGAUUACUUGAAACUUGAAAUCUAUGGAAACGGAACCUUAACAGACGUUUUUUUUUAUUGUACAGACGUCAAUCUUUUCUCAUUAGAUAUGUGAAUGGAAAAAUCAGAAUUUGCAAGUUUUCCAUAUAUGUAUGUAUCUAUCUGUCUGUUAAUUUGUCCUUGACUUGAAAUUCUGGAUAAAAUCCUUAAUGGAUCUUGA